rnacentral:rRNA from 1 species
AGUAACGCGUGGGCAACCUGCCCCAUANAGGGGGACAACAAGCUGGAAACGGCUGGCUAAUACCGCAUAACAAGGAGAGAGCGCAUGUUCUUUUCUUCAAAGAUUUAUCGCUAUGGGAUGGACCCGCGUCUGAUUAGCUAGUUGGUGAGGUAACGGCUCACCAAGGCGACGAUCAGUAGCCGGCUUGAGAGAGUGAACCGGCCACAUUGGGACUGAGACACGGCCCAGACUCCUACGGGAGGCAGCAG